AUCUUCUUACUAGGCGGCGCUCGUGUUCUGUUGUUGACGUCAAUGGCUGCUUAACAUACGACGACGAUCGAUCUCAGCAACUCCUUGCAGCUGAAGUCACUAUAUUUCCAUCCUACACGUCAUUUUAACAAUGACGCUGAGGGUGACACAAGCCUGCAAGAAAUGGUUCACCUGAAGUGCAGCAGAUAACAAGAGUGAAACUGAAACAACGUGAAUCAUGACUUGGAAUUUCCCAUAACAAAGAUUAUAGAAUGUCCGACAAAUACUUCUGUCCACGUCUUAUCGACUACAUCCUGAUAGUGGGCAGUCGACAUCCGAAUAACAACAACAAUGUCGCCCAGACCCCCGAGCUUCUGCGACGUUAUCCCUUGGAGGAUCAUCACGAUUUUCCGCUGUCCCCCGACGUCAUCUUCUUCUGUCAGCCGGAGGGAUGCAUCAGUGUGGGCCCCAAACGCAUGAGCUUAAGAGAGACCACUUCAUUUGUGUUCACAUUGACAGAGAAAGACACAGGGAAAGUCCGAUAUGGAAUCUGUGUGAAUUUUUUUCGACCAAUAGAGAGAAAGGUGUCGGAGAAAUCGAAAUCUCUGAGUGCAUCUUGGGCAGACGAUAAUGGAAAUACGGAACCGGACAGAAGAAAAUCACCUAAAACCAAGCGGAAAUUGAAGACGGCCAGUCGUGUUCGAAAUAAUACUUUAACAUCACUGUGUAUUGUUACUCAUCAUCCAUUCUUCUCCACAUUCCGAGAAUGCUUGUUCAUUCUGCGCAAACUUAUAGACGCUUGCCAUGAUAGAAGUUGUAGCAAAAGAAUUGGUGGAUCCAAAGCAAUAUCAAGGGACACAGUUUGGGGAGUGUUAACAGGGCAGGGCUCAGACAACCUGACAGGCCUUGUGAUGCAUGAAGUCAAAGAAAUAGAAACGUGGGUGCUGAGACUUCUUAGUGCACCCGUACCAGUCCCCGGGAAGACCAGAGUGGAGGUUCAGGUGUUGCCAAAAGAACUUGAAGCCCCUCUGUUGUUUGCCCUGCCCGACCACACUAGGUUCUCCUAUAUAGAUUUCCCCCUCCAUCUCCCAUUAGAACUCUUGGGGGUGGAUACGUGUCUAAAGGUGCUUACUGCCAUUAUGCUGGAAUACAAGGUUGUGAUGCAGUCCCGUGACUACAAUGCCCUAUCUAUGAGUGUGAUGGCCUUUGUUGCUAUGCUGUACCCUCUAGAAUACAUGUUUCCUGUGAUUCCAUUGCUGCCAACCUGUAUGUCCUCUGUAGAACAGCUGCUCUUAGCCCCAACACCAUUCAUCAUCGGGGUACCAGCAAGUUUCCUUCCAUACAAGAACGUCAAACUGCCUGACGAUGUCUGGCUGGUAGACCUUGACUCAAAUAAGAUGUCAAUAGGCAGAAAUGAAGAAUUACCUCCCCUGCCAGAACCAGAGGGAACACACUUAAGAAAUCACUUAAAGCAGGCUUUAGCAAGUAUGUCCAUGACCCCUCAGCCUAUAAAGAACCUGGAUGCCCUAGCCCAGAAUCCAGACACCUGGAAGAGACGGGAGAGUUUCUCCUCUCAGACUGGAUUUAAUCCACUUAUUUAUGGCAAUGAUGUGGACUCUGUGGAUGUAGCAACCAGAGUUGCCAUGAUUCGGUUCCUGAAUUCUUCCAACAUUCUGGGUAAUUUCUCAGAGCACACCAGAACAUUACGACUGUACCCCAGACCUGUGGUGGCAUUCCAGAUGUACAGUUUCCUCAAGUCUCGCCCAACUCGAAGUCUCUUCACAGCUAGACUCGCCCGCACUCAGGCCGUGGAAUAUUUUGCUGAGUGGAUAUUAAGUCCAAAGAACGUAGUUUUCCUACGAGUACAGACCUCUGUGUACGAUCCACUUCUGAUUGGUGAUAAACCUAAGUGGUACGCCCAUCAGCUCCAACCAAUAGAAUUCAAAGUUUACGAUGAUGGAUCCUCAUUGGGUACAGCUUUAUCAUCAGCAACUGGCAUUUACAGUGAUGAAAAUCCAACAGAUGAGAGUGGCAGUGACAGUGAUGGGGCUGACAGCACAAGCUCCUCCUACUCGUCGCUAAGUGAUUACGUCACUGACAUGAUCAACAGCGAAAUAGACGGGGACACACCAGACGUGACAGGGAGUGCAUUUGUUCCUGAGAACCAGGUCCUAGCAGUAGACGAGUCCAAGGUAUACUCCCCUCCAGACAAACUGCAGCUGCCCGAGAUGUCCGUCACGACCAGUGACUCCGCCUUCUCCAUGCUGGAAAGUGAUCUCAGUAGCUCAGAAUCCUCUAGUCCAACCUACAGCAAAGAUCUGCCAGGUCAAGGUCAGGAAGAGGUCAACAAACCACAGAUCAAAGGUCAACCUCCUACUGAGCUUGUUGGUGAAAGAUUCCGGUAUGAUUCUGGCAAUGUCACACCAACUCUGAAUUCUUUAACAAGUCGAACAGAGAGUGUUGGCUCCAACAACAGUACCCCCGAAUUACCAAAGAGGCCUCCUCUACAGCCACUGACUCGGAGUUUGAACUCGGCUUUUGAAGCUUAUGAGAAGCCACUGCCAUCUGGUAUGAGGGGGCCGGAAAACUUGGGCAUUCCAAAUUUCAGGAAGGAGAGUGGAAGUAGCAGAUCUAGUCCACACCCAAAGGGAGAUAGAACAUCUACCCCUGAUUCUUUGAUGUCCACAAUAAGUCACUUCAGUAAUGAGUUGACAGACAUUGCACAGUCUGCAAGCACAACCAUGUCAGAAUUUUUUGGAUCAACAAGAUCACCACACACCACUCAACAAAAGUCUGCUAAACCAUUUGCUCCUCUUGGAAAUCGUAAAGCCUUGGUAGAGAAGUCUGGAUUAGUUAAACAUGCCACCAACAGAAAACAGAAGGAAUCUGGGACAAAGCCAGGCUCCUCAGAUAACAGGAGUGUCUCUAACAGUGAGAACCAGAUGUUCCUUAAAGAAGUAGUAAACAGUGUCCUGGAGGGGCAGGGAGUCAGCUGGCUAAAACUGGGGAGGAUCCGGAAAUUGAUGGAGGACGAGAAUUAUAGAAACUUCAUUGUCAGUAGGCUGAAUCGUAACCUGGACAAGAAACUAUCAGAUGAUAUCCCUCACCUAGAAGAUGUGCCCCUAAACAAGCCAGUAUACAAAGGCAUGCUGACACUGGUGAAGGCCAUUAUCCAUGGCCUGGAGCACACCUACCAGAACCAUGGCCUUGGAGGCAUGGCCAGUGCCUUCAUGUUGCUGGAGAUCAUCCACACUCACUACUGGAAUAAAGAAAACAUCGCAGGCAGUGUACAAAGCAAUGCUCCAUCUGAGGUGUCCUCUCCUGCUGGUAGUCCUGAGAGUUCUAUAAAGAGUGAAGACUCACCUCAGCAGUCAGAAACGCACAGUCUGCAGGACGAACAGAUGGUCACGUUAGGCUCUCAACGUUCAGGGUGGUGGUCAGAACGACCCACUUCUUCCUCUGCAGCCUACCAUUUUUCUGACCUUUCGACUUCUAGAACUGAACCAGGUUCACCUAUAUUGGUCAAUGGAGAGGAAUUUCAGAAUAUCGAAAUUCAUACAACAUCAGAGUUGAGGAGAAGACAGAAAAUGGUUGUGCUAGACCAGAACCGAAACACUGCUAAAAUGUCACCAGGGCAUCACUGUGAUAUAAUUGUAACAAAUUCUCCCAAUGAACCUAACUCGCCCACACAACUGGAUGUGAUGAGACAAAUGGUGAAGAACAAGGAGUUGAUGGGAGAGAUUAACUUUGACAAGCGCUGCAGCAUCGAGUCGGAGAUGUCUGAGGCCAGCACGCUGAUCAGCACCAGCUCAGAGAACAUCGGGGAGGAGGAGGGGCGCAGGAGGAGGAGAAUCAACCACCACAGCAUCAGGAGUACACUGUCUGAUAGCGAGAUGGAAAUGUCGGGGGUGGUGAACUAUAACAAGAAAAACAGGUCACCAGGCACCUGGACCAGCAAGAGCAAUCUAAGUACAGGUUACCGUUAUUACGACGGGAAAAUGGUCAACACCUCACCAGUCCCACACUCCAGUCACAGUCCAGAGAAUGCCAAACAGUACUUAUUUGAGGCUUUGAUUGGAAAGGAUCGCAGCCGUUUAUGGGAUCAGAUGCAGUUUUGGGAGGAUGUAUUUUUAGAUGCAGUGGCUCAGGAGAGAGAUAUCAUUGGAAUGGAUCAGGGUCCAGCUGAAAUGAUUGACAGGUAUGUUUCUCUGGGAGACUUGGAGAGAAAAAGGUUAGAACAUGAUGAGGACAAGCUGCUGGCCCACAUGUUAUAUAACAUCACAGCCUUCAUGGUGAUGAUGAGAGUGUCUAAGACAGAGGUCAGGAAGAAGAUCCGGCGACUGCUGGGAAAGUCCCACAUAGGACUGGCCUACAGCGCAGAGGUCAACAACCUGCUGGACCAGAUAGGCAACCUGCAUGGAAAUGACAUUGAUUUGAGGCCUAUGCAGAGCAGGUUCAUGCAGAAACAGUCUUUCACGGUCCACUGGGGAGGGGAUAACACGGGGGAUAUGUUAUUUAUGGAGGUUUGUGAUGACUGUAUUAUACUGAGAAGUGUGACAGGAGCCAUCUGUGACAGAUGGUGGUAUGAGAAGCUCGUCAACAUGACUUACUGUCCUAAAACCAAAGUACUGUGUCUAUGGAGGAAACAUGGGGAGAAAGUCCAGCUAAACCAGUUCUAUACAAAGAAGUGUAGGGAACUUUAUUUCUGUGUCAAAGAAUCAAUGGAAAAAGCAGCAGCAAGGAACAAUGGAAAAUUGCCAGGUCCAGAGCUUGGUGGGGAAUUCCCUGUACAAGACAUGAAGUCAGGACAAGGAGGUCUUCUCCAAGUGUGCAUGGAAGGCAUUGGAUUACUCUUAGCCAAUAGCAAGUUAUUUAUUGAGCUAGGUCGAAUCAAGAAAUGUUUCACCCAGAAAGGCGGGAUUUUUGUAUUAGAGGAAUUUGAUUCCAAAGAUCGGCAAGUAAUUCAGCACAAAUUCAAGUCCAGAAUGGCUGAUCAGAUCUGUUACGCUGUCCUCUGUGUUUUCUCCUAUGUUGCCGCGGGAAUGGAGCAACAACAACAGCAACGAAGGCAGACUUAGUAUUAGGUCAUUGUGUUCUCUUGUCUGAUUUGUUUACAAGCACCUGAUUAAUCUAAAGCAAAAUGAUCUUCUUGUGAAGAUUUUUUUUCCCUGUUGAGAUUCUAGUAAUUAAUUAACUGAAAGUGACUACUUGAUAAGGCUUUGAUUUUCAUAGAUAAGAAUGAAAUUUAAAGGAUCUCUUGCCAAACCAUGCAGAUAUACUUUUUAUUUACACUUCCAUUUUGGGAAAAAAGCUAAAAUAAUCUUAAUACACAUAUUUACCUCAUUUUUGAUUAGAAAAUUGCUCAAGUAUUAAGUCAUAUUCUAUGACGAUAUAUUUACCUGAUUUUGUAUAUCCAGUGUGCCAGAAAUCUUAAAAAUCUGAAGAAAUUUCUGAUAAGAAUUGCCAAAUAUCUUAUACCAUUGUAAAGGAAUGAAACAGAUGGAAAUUUAGAUUUUUGGUUUUAACUGGGAGCAAUUCCAUAUAUAGAUGUAUUUUGAAACGAUGAUUUGUAUUGCUCAGUUUCAAACAACUAAAUUCCCAUUUUAAAACAGUAAAUCAUAGAAUUGCUGAUACAUGUUCAUGCUUAUAGACAAAGUUUUGUAUCGUGUAAACUGUUUCAAAAUGGGAGUCUUCCACAUGGAAUAUAGUUGAAAUAUGUAUUGGUCUAAGGGUACAGCUGUUAUGUUCUGUCACUGAUAUUAUAAACUGUAAUAGUGUUUGAAUGAAAGCUCACUCAACUUCUCUUCUAUGUAAGAAAAAGUAUUGAUAUUCUUAUCUGUCACUUAAAAAAUUAAGGGGUUAUUUUUAUACGACUCUUGAGAUGAAUUUAUUUUUUCACUUGACAAAGAUGAUAGAAUUUAUUUUUUUCACUAUGUAUUGUCUGUCUUCUCGCUGUUGUUGUUGUUGUCGUCAUGGAGACAGAGGACCUGUUGUGAUUGGAUGGAUCAGUCAACUAAAAAUGGAGGAUAACAACUAAUCUUUGUGAUAAUUUUUCAAAGAAGUCCGUAUUAUAGAGAACAUGACUUGUUACAAUAGUUCAACCAAUGAUGAAAUGAUAAAGAAUCUCUUUAUAUUCUCAAUAUUAUACGCUGUAUAGGGAACUAUCUCCUAAUUUUAAUUUUUGGAAUCUCAAUGAUUUUUGUCUUGUAUGAUAUUUCUGUGCAUUUAAAUCAACUGAAAUGUGUUCUGUAACAAUUCUUUUUGUGGUAACUAAAGCCAAAGGAUCUGAUUCCACUAUUUGAAUUUUUUUAUGUUGUUGGCAAUUUAAAAAAAAAAAUCAAAAUGUUUGGAAGUUUCAAAUACACGUAGGAAGGGUUGAUACAAAGUAACAUUUUUGCAAUACCAAAGAAAAAAAUAUUCUUGGAAGUAUAAGUCAUUAGUUUCACUUAUAGCUUACCUGAGCCAAACUCUUGAGUUAGAUUUACAAAUCAAUUUUUUUUUAGCAUUUGUAUUUCUGCUGUUGGCCAAUUGAAUACACAAAUAGUCCAUUUUAUGUAGGGGUAUUCAAGGUUGUUCAAAACAUAGCCUAAGGGAAUAGAUUUUGACGACUAUCGGGAAACUAUUUUUUUUAUAUAAAAACAUUUUGACAUCUUUAAAAAAGAUUAAGAAUGCUAAAUUUUUUCAAGUUGACAUCAAGUCACAAUAUAAAUAAAAAUAAUAAGUAAACAUAUUAUGGUAUAUAAAAUUGUCGAGAUGAAAAGGUUUGGGCUCAGGUGAGCAUUGAAGUGUAGGGACCUUUCUUUAUGCACAUAUUACUGAUUUCAAAUUUGCAGUAAACACUUUACUAAACUUUAUUCCGACACUGAUAAAAAUAUGUCAACAAAAAUUUGAAUUUGUAUGACAGACUCCCAAAACUAGUUGAGUUCUGCGAAUAUUAUUUAUUGCUGUUUUUUAUGCAAAAAUUAGAUUUAAAGUUAAUACGUGUUAUGAUUUGUGAUAUAAUGUUAUGGUUGUAGAUAUAGCUUUAAGUCCUUAAUUCAUACAUGUAAUAAGUUAUUCAAUUUGUGUGUGUGUGCAUGUCUCAUGUUAUAAUUAUUACAUCUACUAGUAUAGAUGUGCAGGUGUAAGCAUAAAUACAGAUUUGGCACUUAUAUACAUUUAUACAAUUUAUUUAUUAAUUUCUACAUUCCAUAUGAAAUCCAUCAGCAUUCCAUUUGCUUUCCCCGAAGAUUUUUAGCAAACAAUGGGUAUUUUCAUUUUUUGUAUAUAGAUUUU